UACGUAGGGUGCGAGCGUUAAUCGGAAUUACUGGGCGUAAAGCGUGCGCAGGCGGUUUUCCAAGACAGAUGUGAAAUCCCCGGGCUCAACCUGGGAAUGGCAUUUGUGACUGGCGAGCUAGAGUAUGGCAGAGGGGGGUAGAAUUCCACGUGUAGCAGUGAAAUGCGUAGAGAUGUGGAGGAAUACCGAUGGCGAAGGCAGCCCCCUGGGCCAAUACUGACGCUCAUGCACGAAAGCGUGGGGAGCAAACAGG
rnacentral:rRNA from 1 species